rnacentral:rRNA from 1 species
GACGAACGCUGGCGGCGUGCCUAAUACAUGCAAGUCGAACGCUGAAGGAAGGAGCUUGCUCUUUCUGGAAGAGUUGCGAACGGGUGAGUAACGCGUAGGUAACCUGCCUGGUAGCGGGGGAUAACUAUUGGAAACGAUAGCUAAUACCGCAUAAAAUUGAUUAUUGCAUGAUAGUCAAUUAAAAGGUGCAACUGCACCACUACCAGAUGGACCUGCGUUGUAUUAGCUAGUUGGUGGGGUAACGGCUCACCAAGGCGACGAUACAUAGCCGACCUGAGAGGGUGAUCGGCCACACUGGGACUGAGACACGGCCCAGACUCCUACGGGAGGCAGCAGUAGGGAAUCUUCGGCAAUGGACGGAAGUCUGACCGAGCAACGCCGCGGGAGUGAAGAAGGUUUUCGGAUCGUAAAGCUCUGUUGUAAGAGAAGAACGAGUGUGAGAGUGGAAAGUUCACACUGUGACGGUAUCUUACCAGAAAGGGACGGCUAACUACGUG